UACGUAGGGUGCAAGCGUUGUCCGGAAUUAUUGGGCGUAAAGAGCUCGUAGGCGGUCUGUCGCGUCGGAUGUGAAAAUCCAGGGCUCAACCCUGGACCUGCAUUCGAUACGGGCAGACUAGAGUUCGGUAGGGGAGACUGGAAUUCCUGGUGUAGCGGUGAAAUGCGUAGAUAUCUGGAGGAACACCCGUGGUGCAGACGGCCUGCUGGACCGUGACUGACGCUGAGGCACGAAAGCGUGGGUAGCAAACAGG
rnacentral:rRNA from 1 species